AUGUCAUCACUCCAUCAGAAGAGUCGACUGCAUCAAUGUUGAGGUGACUGAAAGUUUCUUCUCUGCGGUUGCUGCUCUCCAGAAGAGGCCACUUUGUCAAGAACAAGGCAGGAGAUCAUGGGCUGGAAGAAGAGACUGUUUCCAUAGAAACCAGCAGAGGUGAAAGGUAAGAAUUCACAGUCAUGUUUUUAUUGUUUGUCUUUAUCUCAGACAGACUCACUUUUCCUUCCAACAACUUGUGGAUCAGAAGCUCCAUUGUGAAAGACAGAUUCACUUCUCUCUCCAGCCAGUGCAGCUUCCUGAUGGCAUCACCUCUUCAUACAUCAUGUUGUUUCAUUAAAGACAAAUCAAAGUG